rnacentral:misc_RNA from 1 species
CGUCGUUUCCGUAGAGGCGGCCGACACACCCCAGUGUCAAAAUUGCUGAGCGUGGACGUCCUUCGCAUGCAGACGUUAGAAUCGUAAGGAUCGCCCUCCAUUACCGCCACAUCUCUUUCGGCAUUCGCAAUGACAUGCACUCUUUGUGGACACCGUUGAAUUACGGCUCCGCAGUGCUAAACACCCUCGCUAUCCUCCGGCGUUCGCCGUAGGUUUACCGGUUAGAGAGACAAGAGAAGAGCCGACAAAAGAACAGCUACUGAAAGUUUCCGACUGUUACCGCUACCUGGUGCCGAGUGCGUAAAGAACCGAUCUUCAACGAUAUGGGCGUGGCACGGUGCCGCAAACUGCUGCUGUUCGUGGCGGCAGUCAGCUGUGGCCGUGCGUACGACGUGGAGAAAGUGACCCGUCUGGGACGAGUCGGAGGAAACCGGCUGGAUCUGCUGGGACAGAAGGUGGAAGAGUACCGCGGCAUUCCAUUCGCGCAACCACCCGUAGGCCGGCUACGAUUCCUUCCACCCCAGCCAGCCAAGCCGUGGGAUGGAAUCCUGGACGCAACGAGCAGGCGGACGGCUUGCCCGCAGGUCGUGUUCAGCGAAUUCAUGGCUGGUGAGAUCGAAUACACCGAAGAUUGCUUGCAUCUGAACGUUUGGAGUCCUGCUGGUCGCGACGGCGAUGUAGCUCCAGUAGUGGUGUGGAUUCACGGAGGCGGCUUCACUCAGGGAUGCGCGAGCUACGACAACUACACCGGGGCUCCGCUUGCUGCCAAGACCGGCCUAGUUGUCGUCUCAAUGAAUUACCGUCUGGGAAUCCUGGGUUUCCUUGACGCGAACAGCCCUGAAGCACCUGGCAACAUGGGUCUUAUGGAUCAGAGUCUGGCUCUCAAGUGGAUCCAGGAGAAUAUCCGUGACUUCGGUGGUGACCCGUCAAGAGUGACUAUAUUAGGAGAGAGCGCUGGAGGAAUGAGUGUCCAUGCGCAUGUACUGUCUCCCGUGAGUCGUGGCCUAUUCCAGAGGGCGUACAUGAUGAGCGGAACACUGCACACCUUGGACUUCUUUGAUGCCACCCAUGAGAGCAUUAGCAAGGGCAACACGGUUGCAUCCGUUGUAGGUUGUUCAGGUGGGGACCGAAGCCUGGGAUCUAACGCUGAAGCCGUGAUCGACUGCCUCAGAACAAAAAGCGCCAACGAACUGGUGCUCGCCGCAGCCGAAUCUCUUGCGCCCAAGAUAUUUCUAUUUUUGCCAACCUACCACAACGAAUUCCUGCCCAAGGUACCCACUGUCGCAAUCAGCAAGGGGUUCUUCCAUACCGUCGACAUCGUCCUAGGAGUCACCGAGGACGAAGGGGUGCUUUCUCUCAUUUAUCCUCUUAGAAGCGAGCUGCUUCCUGAUGACGUGGAAGGCCUUGACGAGAAGAUAUUUAAGCACUCUCUGCAUGAAGGCGUAUUCUCGUGGCUCAAGAUGGACUUUCCGGAAAUGUUGGAGAAGUACACAGCAGAGGCCCAGGACAAAUCGUCCUUGAGGCGCGGCUACGUUGACUACAUUUCCGACUCGGUUUUCGUCUGUCCCAUGCACUUCACCGCAGAAAAGCACGCGGACCGUGGUCAGACCGUUUAUUCGUACGUCUUUGGUCACAAGUCAGCUAAAAACCCGCUUCCUGCCUGGAUGGGGACUCCGCAUGCAUUUGACAUAAACUACAUCUUCGGAGUCCCCCUUGUCAAUCAAGAACGGUUCGAUGAUGAAGAUGCUGCUGUAUCAGAAGUUGUGGUGACGGUGUUGAAGACAUUCGCUGCAAAUGGGGUGCCAGAACUACCUAUGAAGAAACCAUGGCCUAAGUACACCGCCGACAGUCCGGUUUCCGUCUACUUCGACUACGAAAACAUCACGGACAUCAAGGGAUUUCGCGAAGAGCAGUGCGGGCCAUGGAGAGCUUACCUGUAGGGUUGCGAAGAAUUACAAUAGCGUCCGCACAGCGUUCUCUUUUUGCAUCAAGGGAGCUUGUUUACUACAUCAUGUUGAAUGCGUGCAGAAACUCUAUCUGAUCAAAGCACACCUUUUUUAUUCUUCCUUUAGCUAUUAUUAUUCAUUGCAUUUCACGUACGACAUGCAACUUGUUAUUUCGCGCAACUGCUGCUACCGUUCAAAGCCAUGGACGAAAACUGAUACACAUUGUGUGAAAAUAAAUCAGAAUUGUAGUGUUCCGCAAAUUUUUCGCGCCUAAAUUGCAAAAGAGCGUCGAAUGCAUACAACCAGACACCAAGCAGCGAGAAACAAAAUCAUCAAAGGUGGAAACUUUUCUACACAGCACUGUUACACUUUUUGAGCGUACAGGGAUCACAGGAAAUUGUUCUAUUGGUUAAAAUUUGUCCGGAUGAUGUUUAAGCAUACCAUUGGAAUGCUGGGCGACCUUUUACGGUGAAAUUUUUAGCACUCUUGGUUGUAAGACCUGCCUAUCAGCGGUGGUCUCCAUUAGUAUGUUUAGUUGUGUAUGCUGUUUGGCAACCUUUCCAAUGAAAAAAGACCUGCCUAGCAUGCCGAGCCGAGCCUGCCGAGCCGAAUGCUCGACCGGCAAUCUUUGUGUUGUGAAGAGGUUCAGGCGUGCGCGUUUAUUUACAGCGGCGCUGCUCAAUAUCUCGUGUUUCCCUGCGUUAAUUGAGCUGCUCCUGGUCAUUGUGGGAGCGUCGCCAUUCAUUCGUACAGUUAUUCAGCUCACGUUUUCGAGAAAGAGAGAAAGUACUUUAUGAAAUGCAGAGAAUACAAUCGGCGUAUAGAUGCCGCCGACAUGCUACUCUGUAAGGGUAAGGGGACUGAAGACAGAAAGGCCCUAAGCGUAGGAGGUCAGGAAAGGAAGAUAAAAAAGAAGAAACUAUGUGGUAGUAGUAUGUACCACUGAUAUGAUAAAUAUCAUCGUUGUGCCGUAGACUGGUUCAGAGGUUAUCGAUUAAAGAGGAUGGAGGGCAAAUUCGACUAAAAGUGCGAUUUUAUUAAUCAUAACAUGAGAAUCUACCAACAUUCUUGGCAUGUAUUUCCACCAAGUGGCACCUUCAGCUGCGAUAGUGAAGAUGUUCAAACGGUUCCAACCGCGCCUGCCCCCCUGACUUCGCCUUCUCGCUGCGCAAGCUUGCGUUAUGCGUUGUGGCGUUUGCUUUGAGUAUAAGGACGCUUAAUGUUACUUCCCGCCGUUGCCAUACCCGCGUUCUGCUUGUGCGUGAUGUCAUUCUUCAUUUGAAAAAAUGUCUACGCAUGCUACACGGGUACAAAAGAGAAGUGUCUGUUUUAGAUGCCCACUCUUGUAACAUGAAUAUGUACCAAGUACUUCAUGCGCACCAGGUAGCACACUUUACUUCAAGCAGCUCAGCUCUCUCUUAUUCUGCCACACAGCUGUUGCCUCUUUCACUAAUGCACUGCCAACGUAAGAAUGCCUCGUUUUUAGAUGCGAAGUAUCUUAUGGCGGAGUUCAAUCCGAUGGUGGUGGUGGUGGUGGUGUGCGGCGUGACCACCCUCACUGCGCACGCGCAUACCCUGUCCCCUCUCCUCUCCCCUUCCCCUCUGCCAUUUCCCCU